UUCAGAUUGGUAGGUGGCAGAUUUAACAAGCACAGAAACUUACAUACAAGGCUUGUCCUGGGCUGCAGCAAGAUAACUAAAUUUCUGCACCCACCUACCAAAUCCUUAAAGUUUAUAUAGAGGCUUAACUGGGUUCAGUCAUAUAUACCAUCCAGAUGGUCUCAAUAGCACAACAUUAUCACAAGGGUAUGUCCUUGGGGAAGCCUCUGAGAGCAGGGAAGGCAAGCAGAACCCACGUUGUAAGAACCAGAGAGGGCUGUAAGAAGCCUUCAGUUGCCCAGGGCCGGUUCAUGGGUCAACUGACAGUCACAGCCUCUUGAUGACCUCCUCCAACAUAUGCAUACAAUGGCAUAUUAUUCAGCCUUUUAAAAGAAGGAAACCCUAUCAUAUGCAACAACCAAAUCCAGGUUCAUAUGGUCAACCUGAAGGAUUUCAUGCUAAGUGAAAUAAGCCAGUCACAGAAGGCAAGAUAGGGUCUUUAACGAGGCAAUCAAGUUAAAAUGAGGUCAUUAAAGUGGGUCCUAAUUCAAUAUGACUGGUGUCCUUAUAAGAAGAGGUAAUUAGGACACAGGCAUAUGCAAAGGAAAGACCAUGUGAAGACAGAGCGAAAAGAUGGUCAUGUACGAGCCGAUGAGAGGCCUCAGAAGAAGCCAAGCCUGCUGACACCCUAAUCUUGGACUUCGCCUCCAGAACUGUGAGAAAAGAAAUUUCUGUUUUUUAAAUCCACCCGGUCUGUUUUACUUUGUUAUGGCAGCCCGAGCAAAGUAAGACACCGCUCAUUUUAAUGUAGAACAGUUUUAUUCUCCACUUCACUGCUCUGAACUCGUGAAAGCCUCCCUUGGUAAAUCCUUAACCUCAUUAAGCCUCUUUUCUAAACAAAAGACCAUUCUCUCAGGAUAUUUGCCCUUUAGUAGCACAGAGUACCCAUAGAGGCUGAGAAAUUAGUCUUUGCUCGAGUAAGAUCAAACUCGUUGGCACAUCAGUCUUCUUAAGUGGGAAGGGAGCAGGAUAAAAGUCUAUUCUUCCGUAAUAAAGAAUACGCCACCUCUUAAGAAGCUGGAAGCACCUACGGCCAGAUUUUCUUUUGUUUGCUUGAAAUGGCAGUUUCCCCCUUCCCAGUUGGUUCACGUGCACUCACACAGCCGUUCACUUAACAGUGGGUUAUUAAGAGCCUCCUGUGUGCAAGCCACUGUGUCCAAGAUAAGCCCAUGAAGUCUUGCUUAAAGGGCAUCACAGAAAUGAACAGUAGCUGAAGGCGGAUGUGGAGUUAAGGGAACAGUUCUGUUUUUCUUUCCUUUUCUUUUUAAAAAGAGCUCAGGAGAUACACAGUGCUGACAGGAACAUCUCAAUAGGAAGGGAGAGAAGGACAAAGGCAGGACCUUACAAGCUGGAGCAGAGUGUGGACCAUGGACCACCUGUAUCAGAAUCAACUAGAGAGCACGUGUAAAUGCAGCAUUUGCAUAUUCAGCCUCUCCUGAGGAGCUGAACACACAGAAACACUGAGAAAUGUUGCUGCUUUCAGAAGCAUCAAGAUGUAACUCCAAACAAAAGCUUUGUGCCCUGCAACUAGCUGUCCUUCUUCAUCUGGUGAGCAGCAUUCGUGGGUUCUCAAUCCCAUCUCUAGAAAACUAGUUGUCCCUGGUAGAGAAGCCACAAACUCUCCAGGACCUCCAUGACCUCUGUCUCCAGGGACUCGGAGUCAAUGGCUGCCCUCCAGCACUGACACUGGACGUCACUCGCUUUUUCUCCAUUCCUUUUUCUUUUAAAUCAAGUGCAGGGGUCAAAAGGAAUGGCUUCUGGAAGGAUAGACAGAACAGUUUCGCUCAACACAAUGUAAAGGUUUUACAGGAAAUAUUUGCUGUUUCAUGUAUAAUUGAAUAAAAACGUAACGAAUGUCUUUAUUAGUGUAACUAUAAGCAGCAUAGAAAGACUUUCAGAGUUGGAAGACGCGUGAAGAUCCCUGUAGCUCCACAGAUGAGCAAAGUCCUGUUGAUAAACGGCCACACAGUCUCUGCUUAGGAAGUACAUGUAUAUUAGAGAGUGUCCUAGCAGGAAAUAGAGAGCGCACUCCCACUGGGUAGGCAGAAAGUGUCUGUUCACUAGAUUGCAGGCAGGCUUUACGGAAACCAGCAAGGAAUAGUGUAGGACUUUAAGACCAGUGGCGUCAGGGAGUCGCCUAUCUUCCCUGUGCCUGAAGGGGCAUUGGGAGUGGGAGGCAGCGGUCCUGGAACUCCGAGAGGGUAGCUAUGUCAGUGCACCGGGCCGCUAUAACAAAAUACAAUAGAUGGGGCGGCUUGAACAGCAGACAUUUAUUUCUCACUGUUCUGGAGGCUGGGAAGGCCCAGCUCCAGGUGCUGGCAGAUCUGGUUCCUGGUGAGAGUUGGCUCUCUGGCUUGCAGACAGCAGCUUUCUUCCCACAUAUCCUCACAUGACAGAGAAAGAGCAAGCUCUGGUGUGUCUUUUUCUU